rnacentral:miRNA from 1 species
UGAGACGACAGUGCCGAGAGGC